rnacentral:rRNA from 1 species
GUCUCAGUUCGGACUGUGGGCUGCAACCCGCCCACACGAAGUCGGAGUUGCUAGUAAUCCCAAAUCAGCAUGUUGGGGUGAAUGCGUUCCCGGGUCUUGUACACACCGCCCGUCACACCAUGGAAGUUGGGGGUGCCCAAAGCCGGCAAGCAAAUAUGCUGUCUAAGGCAAAACCAAUGACUGGGGUGAAGUCGUAACAAGGUAAC